rnacentral:rRNA from 1 species
GAUCCUGAGUACGGCGGAACACGUGAAAUUCCGUCGGAAUCCGGGAGGACCAUCUCCCAAGGCUAAAUACUCCCUAGUGACCGAUAGUGAACCAGUACCGUGAGGGAAAGGUGAAAAGCACCCCGGAAGGGGAGUGAAACAGUUCCUGAAACCGUGUGCCUACAAGUAGUUAGAGCCCGUUAAUGGGUGAUAGCGUGCCUUUUGUAGAAUGAACCGGCGAGUUACGAUUUGUUGCAAGGUUAAGCGGAAAAAGCGGAGCCGUAGCGAAAGCGAGUCUGAAUAGGGCGCAUAAGUAACAGGUCGUAGACCCGAAACCAGGUGAUCUACCCAUGUCCAGGAUGAAGGUAAGGUAAUACUUACUGGAGGUCCGAACCCACGCACGUUGAAAAGUGCGGGGAUGAGGUGUGGGUAGCGGAGAAAUUCCAAUCGAACUUGGAGAUAGCUGGUUCUCUCCGAAAUAGCUUUAGGGCUAGCCUCGAGGUAAAGAGUCAUGGAGGUAGAGCACUGUUUGGACUAGGGGCCCUUCUCGGGUUACCGAAUUCAGAUAAACUCCGAAUGCCAUGUACUUAUACUCGGGAGUCAGACUGCGAGUGAUAAGAUCCGUAGUCGAAAGGGAAACAGCCCAGACCACCAGUUAAGGUCCCCAAAUAUAUGUUAAGUGGAAAAGGAUGUGGGGUUGCUUAGACAACCAGGAUGUUGGCUUAGAAGCAGCCACCAUUGAAAGAGUGCGUAAUAGCUCACUGGUCGAGUGACCCCGCGCCGAAAAUGUACCGGGGCUAAACAUAUUACCGAAACUGUGGAUGAACCUCUUUAGAGGUUCGUGGUAGGAGAGCGUUCUAAGGGCGGUGAAGUCAGACCGGAAGGACUGGUGGAGCGCUUAGAAGUGAGAAUGCCGGUAUGAGUAGCGAAAGAAGGGUGAGAAUCCCUUCCACCGAAUAUCUAAGGUUUCCUGAGGAAGGCUCGUCCGCUCAGGGUUAGUCGGGACCUAAGCCGAGGCCGAUAGGCGUAGGCGAUGGACAACAGGUAGAGAUUCCUGUACCAGUGCUAAUUGUUUAACCGAUGGGGUGACACAGAAGGAUAGGGAAUCGCACGAAUGGAAAUGUGCGUCCAAGCAGUGAGUGUGAGAAGUAGGCAAAUCCGCUUCUC